GUACACGCUGUGACUAGCAUAUCAAUAAGCGGAGGAAAAGAAACUAACAAGGAUUCCCCUAGUAACGGCGAGUGAAGCGGGAAGAGCUCAAAUUUGAAAUCUUAAAGGGUUUCCCUUUACGAAUUGUAGUUUAAAGAAGUGUUUUCUGUUGAGGUUUUGGUAAAAGUUCUUUGGAAUAGGACAUCAUAGAGGGUGAGAAUCCCGUAUUUGACCUUUACUUUCAACUUUGUGAUACACUUUCAAAGAGUCGGAUUGUUUGGGAAUGCAGUCCAAAAUGGGUGGUAAAUUUCAUCUAAAGCUAAAUAUUGGCGAGAGACCGAUAGCGAACAAGUACCGUGAGGGAAAGAUGAAAAGAACUUUCGAAAAGAGAGUUAAACAGUACGUGAAAUUGUCAAAAGGGAAGCGUUUGACACCAGUGUUGUUUUUCUGAAAAUCAAUUAAAGAACUGUUUAUGCUAAGCUGUUUAGACUUUAUCAGCUAACUGUUUAGUUUUGAGCUUUUCUUUAAUGCACCUUUCAGUUAACAAGUCAACAUCAAUUUCUUUUGCUGUAAAAAAGCUUGAGGAAGGUGGCUUGAGAUUCGUCUUAAGUGUUUAUAGCCUCUUGCCUAUGCAGUCGGAGAGAUUGAGGUCUGCAGCGUAGAUCCUUCGGGGCUAAAUGCAUUUGUGCUAAGUUAUAACAUUUUAUAGACAACUUGUUGACUAUGAUUUGUCUUGUAGCUUACUCGCUUAUGUUAUUUUACCUACGCUUAGGAUGUUGACGAGACUGUCGAUCUC
rnacentral:rRNA from 1 species